rnacentral:rRNA from 1 species
CACGUAGGGCGCAAGCGUUGUCCGGAAUUAUUGGGCGUAAAGAGCUCGUAGGCGGUCUGUUACGUCUGCUGUGAAAACCCGGGGCUUAACCCUGGGCUUGCAGUGGAUACGGGCAGACUAGAGGCAGGUAGGGGAGAAUGGAAUUCCCGGUGUAGCGGUGAAAUGCGCAGAUAUCGGGAGGAACACCGGUGGCGAAAGCGGCGCGCUGGACCUCUUCUGACGCUGAGGAGCGAAAGCAUGGGGAGCGAACAGG